rnacentral:hammerhead_ribozyme from 1 species
AUGCAACCUGACGAGUCUCAAAUAGGACGAAACACACGUCCUGGAU